AGCACCACCUAAUUAGCUGCCAGUGAAUAUAAGGCAGACAGAAAAACUUGAAAAAGUGAGACUGGCCUAGCCUCCCAGCCUACAUCUUUCUCCCAUGCUGGAUGCUUCCUGCCCUCAAACAUCAGACUCCAAGUUCUUCAGUUUUGGAACUUGGACUGGCUCUCCUUGCUCUUCAAGCUUAUAGACAGCCUAUUGUGGGACCCUGUGAUUGUCCAAGUUCUACAAGAGAUAAAUCAGCUGAGACUACCACUAGACAUCUGCAAGCAGAAGAUUAGGAGAGUAAAUUUGCGAGACACAUAUGCAUAUGACCCAGAAACCAAGUUGCGUGAAACUACCAUGGUUUGUGCCUCGAUAGGUUGAACAAGGACAUGGUGAGAAGACAGCCAUCUGCAAGCCAGAAAGAGCGCUAACCAGAACGCAACCAUGUGGAUACCCCGAUCUCAUAGUCCCAGCCUCCAAAACUGUGGGCCUCUCCCAGAUGGCAACUUGUUUAUCAAAGCAUGAAAACCAAGAAGGUGAUAAAGAAAGUCUGCUAGCAAGACAUAAGUCACAAUCUUUUGUAAUCUAUUUAUGAAAGUGACAUCCCAUCAUCUUGACCACAAUCUAUUGAUUAGAAACAAGUACAGCUCACCCUCAACAAGAGGAGAUAAUAUCCAGGUGUGAAUUGCACAAGACUAAUCCAGUGGAAAAACUAUAUUCGACCCAAGGAUCUGUAUCCACACAGUUUGACAAUAAUUUACUUCUUUCUGGAAGCGAUGAGCACAGUGUAAUUCCUGAGAAAUUUUAAUAAUGAUAUUUUAAUUAUAAUUAAGUGAAACCUAGCAAAGUUGGCUGUAUCUGGAGGAACUCCACUGUGGGAAACAGAUUCUUAAGAUGGCUGAAGAUGGCUGUUUCGCUGCAUCAAUGUGUGACUUUCAAUAGAUGAUCGAAGAUGGCUGUUUGGCACUGUGUCUGAAUUAAGCCAGAAGGAAGGAGGAAGAAGAUGAAGAAAAGGCAUGCCUCUACCCCUUAGGACCACGUCUCUGAAGCUGUAUACAACAUUUCUGCUCUCAUAUAAUUGGGCAGAACUUAGUCAUAGAGCUACAUGUAGUUGCAAGGGAAGCUAUAUGCACUAAUGUGCUUAGUUAAACAUUGGGAUUCUCUUACUAAGGUACAUAAGGAGAACAUAUAUUUGGAGAGGCAACUAUCCAUCUCUGCCACAAGAUCUGAAACAAUUAUUGUGAGACUAUAAACAUAGAAAAAAGCUCCAGAGAUCAGGGGGAAGUCAGAAAUUAUUUGGGAUUCCAGUGAAUGGAAUGUUGACCAUAAAUGAGAAAUGAUGCUUGGGAUAAUUCCUAGCGAGCAUUGGCUUUUAGAGUUGGGAUUGAAGUCAACCAGCUAUAAAGAGCAAGACUGGGUGGGGUACUUUGAAAUGUCAUAUCAUUGUGUAUGGCUUUUGUGGUAGUUACUGCUUCUUUUUAGAAUAAUUCUCAUAACUAGGUAGAAAGCUCACCUUUGAAACUUCUGCAUGCCUAAUAAAAUGCUUCACUCACACCCAGUUGUUUUACUCAAGCGAGUAGUUUUAUGGUAACUGCAUUUGGGGUAACAGUCUUACAGAAGAGUUAACACAAUGGGCAGAUUCCAGGUGUGCUGUCAUUUGGAGGAGGCAAAUCCAUACAGACAAGAAGUAGAUUAGUGGUUGCCUAGAGCUGGAGGAGGGUAGGGAUAAGGAAUGGAUUACUACUGGGACUGGGUUUCUUUUUGGGGUGAUGAAAAUUUUCUAAAAUUGAUUGUGGUGAUGGUUGCCUAACUCUGUGAAUAGCAAUGAAUUGUGCUAUUGUACACUUUAGGUAAAUGGUAUGGUAUAUGAGUUAUAUCCCCAAUAAAGCUGUUAAAAAAGAAUGAGAAAGACCGAGUGACUUGCCAAGGUAGUCUCUCAAAUGUGUUGUUGUUUUUUCUUUGAAGCUCUUAACAAAACUUUUAAAGACAUGCAAGAAUCAUUAUGGCUCAGAGUCCUGAUGGGAGUACCAGGCUCUCUUUUGAGCUGUUGUCUCUUAAAACUUGUAGCAUGCCUUGUCACGUAUGUUAUCAAAAAAGUAAGGAAAAGAAUAGCUUCA
rnacentral:lncRNA from 1 species